GAAACCCUGACGCAGCAACGCCGCGUGAGUGAAGAAGGCCUUCGGGUCGUAAAGCUCUGUCAAGUGGGACAAAGUUCUGCGGGUGAAUAGCUCGCAGGAGUGAUGGUACUGCUAGAGGAAGCACCGGCUAACUCCGUGCCAGCAGCCGCGGUAAUACGGAGGGUGCAAGCGUUGUUCGGAAUUACUGGGCGUAAAGCGCGUGCAGGCGGUUCGGUAAGUCAGAUGUGAAAGCCCUGGGCUUAACCCAGGAAGUGCAUUUGAAACUGCCGUGCUAGAGUAUGGGAGAGGAGAGUGGAAUUCCCAGUGUAGAGGUGAAAUUCGUAGAUAUUGGGAGGAACACCCGUGGCGAAGGCGACUCUCUGGACCAAUACUGACGCUGAGACGCGAAAGCGUGGGGAGCAAACAGGAUUAGAUACCCUGGUAGUCCACGCCGUAAACGAUGAGAACUAGGUGUAGCGGGUAUUGACCCCUGCUGUGCCGUAGCUAACGCAUUAAGUUCUCCGCCUG
rnacentral:rRNA from 1 species